GAAGGAUGUACAGGGGCACCUGCAGCCAAAUCCAAGCCUCAGAGCAGCAGUUUGUGCUCACAGAUGGUGACGGUGUGGAGAGACGGUGGUGUUUCCUCAGAAGAACCAGCAGAGUCACAAAGGACACCAGUCCAUCUCACCACCUUGACUUGCUGACUGAUGUUCGUCUGCACUGCACAGAGGAAAUCAGCUGACCGAGGAGUGUUUCUGAGUGAGGGGGAGAGGAGUCAUCAUCCAGGUAAAGUGACGUGGAUCAGUGGAUACACUUGUCUCCCCUUUAAAGGAGACGAUCCAAGUCAUCCUUAAAUAUGGGCAGCAUAUCAGUCUUGGACUGUCUAACCUGCAGCACUGAAUGACCACCACACAUGAGCAUGUUCCUGCAACAUUCAGCAUCUGAUCCUUCAUCUGUGUGCUUCUGCUUUUGUGUCACAUGUCAAACAGCUGGAGAGGAAACUACACCAGUGUACUGGGAUGUUUCAGCAACACGUGCCAGAUGCUGUUCCUUCAUGGUGACAUCACCAGAGACAGCCCCGCCCACCUCAGGACCUCACCAUUGAUCAUGAAGAUUAUAAUGAUGACAGCGAGCGGAACUAAGACUGUAAAAAUCCACGACCAGAAUUUUUCUUUCUAAUUAUUAAUGAAUACUGAGAGCCUCGUUCUGUGUUUUGUCUGUUUUGUUUUUUACCUCAUUUGUUUCUAACAAAGUUCACAAACUCACACAGUUUACAUUCUGUAUGUUUCCAUCUUUACCAGCCACACUCUUAACUGCAUUUAAGAAAAUAAUCCUUAGAAAUC